AGGACGAACGCUGGCGGCGUGCUUAACACAUGCAAGUCGAGCGAGGCCCUUCCUUCGGGAAGGUGCCCUAGCGGCGAACGGGUGAGUAACACGUGGGCAACCUGCCCCUAGCACUGGGAUAACUCCGGGAAACCGGGGCUAAUACCGGAUAUGACCUUUGAGGGCAUCCUCGAAGGUGUAAAGGAUUCUGGCUAGGGAUGGGCCCGCGGCCUAUCAGCUUGUUGGUGGGGUAAUGGCCUACCAAGGCGACGACGGGUAGCCGGCCUGAAAGGGCGACCGGCCACACUGGGACUGAGACACGGCCCAGACUCCUACGGGAGGCAGCAGUGGGGAAUAUUGCACAAUGGGCGAAAGCCUGAUGCAGCGACGCCGCGUGAGGGAUGACGGCCUUCGGGUUGUAAACCUCUUUCAGCAGGGACGAAGCGAAAGUGACGGUACCUGCAGAAGAAGCACCGGCCAACUACGUGCCAGCAGCCGC
rnacentral:rRNA from 1 species